rnacentral:rRNA from 1 species
UAAAGCGUGCGCAGGCGGUUUUGUAAGACUGUCGUGAAAUCCCCGGGCUCAACCUGGGAAUGGCGAUGGUGACUGCAAGGCUAGAGUUUGGCAGAGGGGGGUAGAAUUCCACGUGUAGCAGUGAAAUGCGUAGAUAUGUGGAGGAACACCGAUGGCGAAGGCAGCCCCCUGGGUCAAAACUGACGCUCAUGCACGAAAGCGUGGGGAGCAAACAGGAUUAGAUACCCGUG